rnacentral:misc_RNA from 1 species
AUUAAGUUAUAAAUUUUAAAGAAUUUUAAACAAUUUUGACAAGAAAAUAAAGCAUCAAACUGUAAUAUUCUCAAAUCACACGACUGAAACUGUAGUGAAAACACAACAGUAUAUAAUGAAUACAUGAAAAACCAUAUUCCCAUCUUGUUUUUCCUUUAGCUUUUCCUAUCCAUGCAGUCAUAAGAAAGAAAUAUGUGGACAGGA